GAAGGAUGUCAUUCAGAAUAAGGUGCGUUCUUGUGUUCUUCACUAAGUAGAAACAAGUUUAUGUUUUUUGAACCAUGAGAGAGAUAUACACAAUUGUAUUGCAGCACAGCCAUAGAUGUACCAUACUUAAAUUUAAGUGAGCAUUCAUGCUCAUGCAUGCUUUGAAACAUGCAGAAUUUUAUACUCUCAUGGACUUUUAUUCUGUAUGAUUUUAU
rnacentral:misc_RNA from 1 species